UACGAAGGGGGCGAGCGUUGUUCGGAUUUACUGGGCGUAAAGGGCGCGCAGGCGGCUUUGUUUGUCAGGCGUGAAGCCCCGGGCUUAACCUGGGAACUGCGUUUGAUACGGCAGGGCUAGAGUUCGGGAGAGGAGAGUGGAAUUCCCAGUGUAGAGGUGAAAUUCGUAGAUAUCUGGAGGAACACCGGGUGGCGAAGGCGGCAUCCUGGACCGACACUGACGCUGAGGAGCGAAAGCCAGGGGAGCAAACGGG
rnacentral:rRNA from 1 species